rnacentral:rRNA from 1 species
GCUAAUACCGAAUAGUUUUUUGCCCCUCCUGGGGCGGAACGGAAAGACGGUUUCGGCUGUCACUGCAGGAUGGGCCCGCGGCGCAUUAGCUAGUUGGUGGGGUAAUGGCCCACCAAGGCGACGAUGCGUAGCCGACCUGAGAGGGUGAUCGGCCACACUGGGACUGAGACACGGCCCAGACUCCUACGGGAGGCAGCAGUAGGGAAUCUUCCGCAAUGGACGCAAGUCUGACGGAGCAACGCCGCGUGAGUGACGAAGGUUUUCGGAUCGUAAAACUCUGUUGUGAGGGAAGAACAAGUACCAAGUAACUACUGGUACCUUGACGGUACCUCACCAGAAAGCCACGGCUAACUACGUGCCAGCAGCCGCGGUAAUACGUAGGUGGCAAGCGUUGUCCGGAAUUAUUGGGCGUAAAGCGCGCGCAGGCGUCCCUUAAGUCUGAUGUGAAAGCCACGCUCAACCGUGGAGGGCAUUGGAAACUGGGGACUUGAUCGAAAGAGGAAGUGGAAUCCACGUGUAGCGGUGAAUGCGUAGAGAUGUGGAGGACACCAGUGGCGAAGCGACUUUCUGGCUGUAACUGACGCUGAGCGCGAAAGCGGGGGAGCAACAGGAUAGAUACCUGGAGUCACG